AGUAAUAUAUCGGAACGUACCCAAGAGUGGGGGAUAACGUAGCGAAAGUUACGCUAAUACCGCAUACGAUCUAAGGAUGAAAGCAGGGGAUCUUCGGACCUUGCGCUCCUGGAGCGGCCGAUAUCUGAUUAGCUAGUUGGUGAGGUAAAGGCUCACCAAGGCGACGAUCAGUAGCUGGUCUGAGAGGACGACCAGCCACACUGGGACUGAGACACGGCCCAG
rnacentral:rRNA from 1 species